GACGAACGCUGGCGGCGUGCUUAACACAUGCAAGUCGAACGGAAAGGCCUGCUUUCCCUUGUGGAUUGCGGGUACUCGAGUGGCGAACGGGUGAGUAACACGUGAGUGAUCUGCCCCCAACUUGGGUAUAAGCCUGGGAAACUGGGUCUAAUUCCCGAUAGGACUGCAGGGUGGUGCCUGUGGUGGAAAACGAUUUUCUAGUGGUUGGGGAUGAGCUCGCGGCCUAUCAGCUUGUUGGUGGGGUAAUGGCCUACCAAGGCGGCGACGGGUAGCCGGGCUGGGGGGGUGGACGGGCACCAUGGGAAUGAAGUACCGGCCCGACACCGACGGGGGGAAGGAGGGGGGGAGAAUGGCAGAAGGGGGGAAGGCUGGAGCAGCGACGCCGGGGGGGGGAUGACGGACUUCGGGUUGUAAACUCCUUUCGACCGCGAGGAAGCCACCUGGUUGGAAGGGUGGUGACGGUAGUGGUAGAAGAAGCACCGGCUAACUACGUG
rnacentral:rRNA from 1 species